GAUGAACGCUGGCGGCGUACCUAAUACAUGCAAGUCGAGCGAACGGACGAGAAGCUUGCUUCUCUGAUGUUAGCGGCGGACGGGUGAGUAACACGUGGAUAACCUACCUAUAAGACUGGGAUAACUUCGGGAAACCGGAGCUAAUACCGGAUAAUAUUUUGAACCGCAUGGUUCAAAAGUGAAAGACGGUCUUGCUGUCACUUAUAGAUGGAUCCGCGCUGCAUUAGCUAGUUGGUAAGGUAACGGCUUACCAAGGCAACGAUGCAUAGCCGACCUGAGAGGGUGAUCGGCCACACUGGAACUGAGACACGGUCCAGACUACUACGGGAGGCAGCAGUAGGGAAUCUUCCGCAAUGGGCGAAAGCCUGACGGAGCAACGCCGCGUGAGUGAUGAAGGUCUUCGGAUCGUAAAACUCUGUUAUUAGGGAAGAACAUAUGUGUAAGUAACUGUGCACAUCUUGACGGUACCUAAUCAGAAAGCCACGGCUAACUACGUG
rnacentral:rRNA from 1 species